GUGCUCACUUCAGCAGCACACAUACUAAAACUGGAGCCAUACCAAGAAGGUUAGCAUGGUCCUGCAUAGGAAUGGCAUGCAAACUCACAGAACAUUUCCUUUUUUUU
ensembl:snRNA U6 U6 spliceosomal RNA